rnacentral:rRNA from 1 species
AACGAACGCUGGCGGCGUACCUAACACAUGCAAGUCGAACGAGAAAUCCGACACUCAGGCAACUGAGUGUUAGAGAGUAAAGUGGCGCACGGGUGAGUAACGCGUGGGUAACCUACCCCUGAAUUUGGAAUAACCCCGCGAAAGCGGGACUAAUACCGGAUGUGGUUCCAUGAGCCUCGGCUUUUGGAAUUAAAGGUGACCUCUUCAUGAAAGUUGCCGUUCAGGGACGGGCCCGCGUACCAUUAGCUUGUUGGUAGGGUAAUGGCCUACCAAGGCUACGAUGGUUAGCUGGUCUGAGAGGAUGAUCAGCCACACUGGAACUGGAACACGGUCCAGACUCCUACGGGAGGCAGCAGUGAGGAAUUUUGCGCAAUGGGGGAAACCCUGACGCAGCAACGCCGCGUGAGCGAAGAAGGCCCUCGGGUCGUAAAGCUCUGUCAAGUGGGAAAAAAGCCUUUCGAUGAAUAGUCGAUAGGUUUGAUGGUACCACUGGAGGAAGCACCGGCUAACUCCGUGCCAGCAGCCGCGGUAAUACGGAGGGUGCAAGCGUUGUUCGGAAUUACUGGCGUAAAGGGCGUGCAGGCGGUUUGGCAAGUCAGAUGUGA